UCCUUGGUAGCUCAGAGGUUAAAGCAUCUGCCUGCAAUGUGGGAGACCCGGGUUCGAUCCCUGGGUUGGGAA
rnacentral:tRNA from 1 species